rnacentral:rRNA from 1 species
AGUAGUUGAUCAGUGGCUCAGACACGCUGGCGGCGUGCCUAACACAUGCAAGUCGAACGAGGUCCAUCCUUCGGGAGAAGACCUAGUGGCGAACGGGUGAGUAACACGUGAAGAACCUGCCCCGAAGACCGGGAUAACCCUCCGAAAGGAGAGCUAAUACCGGAUACCCCCACCGAACCGCAUGGUUGGUGAGGAAAUGGAUUCCGCUUCGGGAGGGCUUCGCGGCCUAUCAGCUAGUUGGUGGGGUAACGGCCCACCAAGGCAUCACGGGUAGCUGGUCUGAGAGGACGAUCAGCCACACUGGGACUGAGACACGGCCCAGACUCCUACGGGAGGCAGCAGUGGGGAAUCUUGCGCAAUGGGCGAAAGCCUGACGCAGCAACGCCGCGUGGGGAUGAAGGCUCUCGGGUUGUAAACCCCUUUCAGCAGGGACGAAUCAAGACGGUACCUGCAGAAGAAGCCCCGGCUAACUACGUG